ACCACUCAGAGACACUGAACUCUGAGCUGGGGCAGAACAGACACAUUUGUGCAGGACAUGUGCCACGUGCCUCCCCCCAGCCCUCUGUGUGUGCUCAUGGCCUUGGCCUUCUCUGGAUCCACUGUGGCCCAGAAAGUGACUCAAGUCCAACCAGCCACAAGCAGACAGGAGGGAGAAGCGGUCACCCUGGAUUGUUCAUAUGAAACAAGUCAGACCUUAUACCAUCUUUUUUGGUACAAGCAGCUUCCCGGUGGAGAGAUGAUUUUCCUUCUUCGUCAAAUUUCUUCUAGUCGAAAUGAAAAGAGUGGUCGCUAUUCUGUCUCCUUCCAGAGAUCAGCCAUGUCCAUCAGCCUCAUCAUUUCAGCCUUGCAGCUGGAAGAUUCAGCAAAGUAUUUCUGUGCUCUCUGGGAACUUACCCACAGUGCUUGA